UUCGGCUUACCACGGUGACUCGUCGCGGUGGUCUGCGGGCGACGCGGGAUAAACUCUAGCCGCCUGCGCUUCACCGCUGCUCCUCGCAUGUUCCUUUGCUUCCGAGGUCCCGUUCGCCUUUGGACAUGAUCCUUUGUCCACUACCCACGAUUCUUCCUCUGCUCUGCUUGCCUGCCGCCGUGCCGCGGCGGAGGUUGAAGAAGGGCGCCGGCAGCUUCCCGUCGACCUCAGCCCGUCCAGCCGCCCCAGCUCCUCCGCGUACGAUGGGCCGCCGGCCUGAUCGAUAAAUACAUGUACACGCGAGCAAACUGUCAGCUUGGAUUUGCUUGGUUCUGGUUUCGGCAAGGGAUGAAACGGUUACUAUGUACCAGGGCUAUGGCGUCUCAGGUAGCCAUGGUGAGGAUGUCGGAGCAGGACACCUUGUUUCGGCACUGCGGCACGGCGUCUCGGGGGGCCGUCGGCGACGAACCCGACGCUGGACCGGCGGUCCGCGACGCAGCUGCAGGCGGAGUGCCCGGCGAACGUCGACCCGAGGGCCGCCAUGUCCAUGGACCCCGUAAGGCUGGUGACCUUCGACAUCAGUACUUCAGGUACCUGCAGGCCGGGAAGGGUCCGCUGGCCUCGGACCAGAUGCUCUACACCUAGGUCCACCAUCGGCGCUUGGGCCCAGAGCGGCGCUGCCCUGUGACGAUCUCAUCCUUCUCGGUUACCAUUCUCAGUUACCAAGGUUUGAAGUUUCACUAUCUAAGUGAUUUGACGGUCUAUCUAAGUGAUUUGACGGUCAGCAUUUCGAUAGUGACCUUGAGCUACAUCAGUCAACUGACCCAUGCUAUGACGCAGCAAAAUCUGAUGAUGGUGCUGAAUAUUCAUGAAUCUGGUGAUACUACGGAUCGUUUUCUCGGCCAAAUCUCCUAACAAGUGGCAUAAUGGUCUAUCCGAAAGUUCCAUUCUGGAUCACUGGAGUCUAUAGCAGGGAACAAACUAAUGGGAUAUCCGGCAACCUCUAUUGGAUACCUCUAUUGGAUGCUGGUUGCAGAAGAUAUUGAUAGCCUUCAAAGCAGCAGUCUCGAUGGUAUCAACAAGAUGAUACCCUAGUACAUCGACUUCUAUGGGCUGCCACUGCCAUCGACUUCUAUGGGGUGCCACUGCGAGCGGAAAGGUUGUUGAGGAUCGUCAUCCUAACUUGGCAUCGAGGGACACCUUCUUCUCGAUACUCCACUCCGUCAUAUUGGGGAGGCUCAGUGUAAUGGAACAAACUUAAUGAUUUUCAUAGAAGACGAGGAAAAUCUUUCCAAUGCAAGGCAUUAGUGUGAAGAUGCCCUGCAUGAUCCCAAGAGACAUUUGAAGGAGCGGCCAAAGCCUAAUGCUUUGCAUUGGGAAGGUUUUUCUCGUCUUCUAUGGAAAUCAUUAAGUUUGUUCCAUUACACUGAGCCUCCCCAAUAUGACGGAGUGGAGUAUCGAGAAGAAGGUGUCCCUCGAUGCCAAGUUAGGAUGACGAUCCCUCAACAUCCUUUCCGCUCCAGUGGCACCCCAUAGAAGUCGAUGUGGUGGGGUAUCGUCUUGUUGAUACCAUCGAGACUGCUGCUUUAGAGGCUAUUCAUAUCUUCUGCAACCAGCAUCCAAUGGAGGUUGCCGGGUAUCCUAUUGGUUUGUUCCCUGCUAUAGACUCCAGUGAUCCGGAAUGGAACUUUCCGAUAGACCAUUAUGGCCACUUGUUGGGAGAUUUGGUCGAGGAAACGAUUCGUGGUAUCACCAGGUUUAUGAAUGUUCAGCACCAUUAUCAGAUUUUGCUGCGUCGUAGCAUGUGUCAGUUGACUGGUGUGGCUCAAGGUCACUAUCGGAAUGCUGACCGUCAAGUCACUCAGAUAGUGGAACUUCAAGCGUUGGAGACUCAGAAGGAUGAGAUCA